AGCUCCACUAGCGUAUAUUAAAAUUGUUGCGGUUAAAACGUUCGAAGUUGAUUAUUGUUCAGCACGGGUGUAGCGCCAUCAAGUAAAUGGCUGCAUCAUUUCCGAUUGCUUGAACUAUAUGACUGAACACUUAAUGAAUAGCGCUGAUGCCUUUCACUAGGCUAGGCGUCUAUUUAGUUCGGCUUACUUUUACCUUGAACAAAUUAAGGUGCUCAAAGCAGGCUCUUAUGCCUUGAAUAUUUUUGCAUGGAAUAAUGGAAAAAGACCUCGGUCUUAUAGAUUUUCUAUUGGUUUGAUACAGAUCAAGAGGUAAUGAUUAAUAGAAGCAGUUGGGGGCAUUAGUAUUGCGGCGCGAGAGGUGAAAUUCUUAGACCGUCGCAAGACUAACUAAAGCGAAAGCAUUUGCCAAGGAUGUUUUCA
rnacentral:rRNA from 1 species